GGGCCUAUAGCUCAGCUGGUUAGAGCGCACGCCUGAUAAGCGUGGGGUCGAUGGUUCGAGUCCAUUUAGGCCCA
rnacentral:tRNA from 1 species